GGUGGCUCAGUGGUAGAGUGCUUACCUUGCAUGUAAAAGGCCCUGGGUUCAAUUCCUCAGCACCA
rnacentral:tRNA from 1 species